UACGGAGGGAGCUAGCGUUGUUCGGAAUUACUGGGCGUAAAGCGCACGUAGGCGGCUUUGUAAGUUAGAGGUGAAAGCCCGGGGCUCAACUCCGGAACUGCCUUUAAGACUGCAUCGCUUGAAUCCAGGAGAGGUGAGUGGAAUUCCGAGUGUAGAGGUGAAAUUCGUAGAUAUUCGGAGGAACACCAGUGGCGAAGGCGGCUCACUGGUCCAUUACUGACGCUGAGGUGCGAAAGCGUGGGGAGCAAACAGG
rnacentral:rRNA from 1 species